rnacentral:lncRNA from 1 species
GUGUGCUUCAGAUGUGGAGGGAUGCUUUGAUUCCUUGGAUCAGUAAUACUGGGGAGCAUUGCAGGCUUGAAGAACACGAGACCUGGAGCAGAAAGGGGAAGAACAACUUUGUUGUCCUGACCCGUUCUGCUACCUCUGCUUCUCCCUGGAGCACCCCAAAACUCCUGAUUCUUACACAGCUGAGGCAGCAAGCUUCAGGCCCCAAGCCCUGGGUAAGAACCGGUCAUUUUGGGUAAAGAGCAGCAGGGAGGAGAGUAUCAAACUGAAACAAGAGGUCAGAGCCUCUCCAGGUAAUAGGCCCGGGGGCGUUGCUGCACAAUUGAAGUAUCAGUGCAAUUUUAAUGCAAUUUGUUCUGUGUGGAAAGUCCAGGGAGGAAAUGUUCCUUUCCCCUGGGCUGAGAGGAGAAGCUGGAGGCUGCUUGCUCUGUGCUCAAGGCCAGGUCACUCGCUCUCCAUGUGGAGGAUGAUUGCUUUCUGCAGCUCAGUGAAUCACACAGACCCGUGUGUCCUUGCCUACCACGCUCCACUCUCCUGGAUACCAAAUGGCUUCAUCAUUCCGGCUGCUAAUGAAACCGGAAUUGAAUUAAUGGGAACAUGUGUGCCGGUCAGGAGAGGGCUGGACCACAAAGCGCCUCAUUUCUCAACGAGUUUAUCUUUCCAUUAA